CCUACGGGAGGCAGCAGUAGGGAAUAUUAGGCAAUGGGGGGAAGCCUGACCGAGCAACGCCGCGUGAAGGAAGAAGGUAUUCGGAAUGUAAAGUUCUUUUAACAGGGAAGAAAGAGAAAUUUGACGGUACCUGAAGAAUAAGCGCCGGCUAACAACGUGCCAGCAGCCGCGGUAAUACGUAGGGAGCGAGCGGUAUCCGGAAUUAUUGGGCGUAAAGGGUGCGUAGAGGGCAUAGUAAGGCUUUUGUAAAAAUGCUGGGCUCAACCCAGUAGGGCAAAAGAUACUGCAAAGCUAGAGUAUGACAGAGGCAAGUGGAACUACAUGUGUAGCGGUAAAAUGCGUAAAUAUAUGUAAGAACACCAGUGGCGAAGGCGGCUUGCUGGGUCGAUACUGACAUUGAGGCACGAAAGCGUGGGUAGCAAACAGGAUUAGAUACCCGGGUAGUC
rnacentral:rRNA from 1 species